GGCCUCCUGGGGCUCCCCACAGGCCGUGUUCUCACGCUGACUACAGAAAGAAGAGGCAGAGUAAAGGCACCUAGUGAGCACCUCAGCUCAGGUCCUUCGCCUGGUCUGUAUUGUGAAUGGGGGGACAUGG